rnacentral:tRNA from 1 species
AUUUAAAUAGCUUAAGAUUUAAAAGCAUAAUAUUGAAGAUAUUAAGAUGAUUUUUAUUAAUCUUUAAGUA